rnacentral:tRNA from 1 species
CGGAAUAUAGCGCAGUCCGGUAGCGCAUCUGCCUUGGGAGCAGAGGGUCGCAAGUUCGAAUCUUGCUAUUCCGACCA